rnacentral:rRNA from 1 species
AGUGAACGCUGGCGGUAGGCCUAACACAUGCAAGUCGAACGGCAGCACAGUAAUAGCUUGCUCUUACGGGUGGCGAGUGGCGGACGGGUGAGGAAUACAUCGGAAUCUACUUUUUCGUGGGGGAUAACGUAGGGAAACUUACGCUAAUACCGCAUACGACCUACGGGUGAAAGCAGGGGAUCUUCGGACCUUGCGCGAUUGAAUGAGCCGAUGUCGGAUUAGCUAGUUGGCGGGGUAAAGGCCCACCAAGGCGACGAUCCGUAGCUGGUCUGAGAGGAUGAUCAGUCACACUGGAACUGAGACACGGUCCAGACUCCUACGGGAGGCAGCAGUGGGGAAUAUUGGACAAUGGGCGCAAGCCUGAUCCAGCCAUACCGCGUGGGUGAAGAAGGCCUUCGGGUUGUAAAGCCCUUUUGUUGGGAAAGAAAAGCAGCAGGUUAAUACCCCGCUGUUCUGACGGUACCAAAAGAAUAAGCACCGGCUAACUUCGUG